rnacentral:rRNA from 1 species
GAUGAACGCUGGCGGCGUGCUUAACACAUGCAAGUCGAACGGAAAGGCCCAAGCUUGCUUGGGUACUCGAGUGGCGAACGGGUGAGUAACACGUGGGUGAUCUGCCCUGCACUUCGGGAUAAGCCUGGGAAACUGGGUCUAAUACCGGAUAGGACCACUUCUUGGAUGUUGUGGUGGAAAGUUUUUUCGGUGUGGGAUGAGCUCGCGGCCUAUCAGCUUGUUGGUGGGGUAAUGGCCUACCAAGGCGUCGACGGGUAGCCGGCCUGAGAGGGUGUACGGCCACAUUGGGACUGAGAUACGGCCCAGACUCCUACGGGAGGCAGCAGUGGGGAAUAUUGCACAAUGGGCGCAAGCCUGAUGCAGCGACGCCGCGUGAGGGAUGACGGCCUUCGGGUUGUAAACUCCUUUCGCUAGGGACGAAGCGUUUUGUGACGGUACCUGGAGAAGAAGCACCGGCUAACUACGUG